rnacentral:rRNA from 1 species
UACAGAGGUCUCAAGCGUUGUUCGGAUUCAUUGGGCGUAAAGGGUGCGUAGGCGGCGCGGUAAGUCGGGUGUGAAAUCUUGGAGCUUAACUCCGAAACUGCAUUCGAUACUGCCGUGCUUGAGGACUGGAGAGGAGACUGGAAUUUACGGUGUAGCGGUGAAAUGCGUAGAUAUCGUAAGGAAGACCAGUGGCGAAGGCGGGUCUCUGGACAGUUCCUGACACUGAGGCACGAAGGCCAGGGGAGCAAAACGGGG